rnacentral:rRNA from 1 species
GACCAGCGACGCCGCGUGCGGGAUGAAGGCCUUCGGGUUGUAAACCGCUUUUAGUAGGGAAGAAGCGAACGUGACGGUACCUACAAAAGAAGCACCGGCUAACUAUGUGCCAGCAGCCGCGAUAAUAGUGCCAGCAGCCGCGGUAAUA